rnacentral:rRNA from 1 species
UACAGAGGGUGCAAGCGUUGUUCGGAAUUAUUGGGCGUAAAGCGCGUGUAGGCGGUGAUGUAUGUCGGGUGUGAAAGCCCUCAGCUUAACUGAGGAAGUGCGCCCGAAACUACAUCGCUAGAGUGCCGGAGAGGGUGGCGGAAUUCCCGGUGUAGAGGUGAAAUUCGUAGAUAUCGGGAGGAACACCAGUGGCGAAGGCGGCCACCUGGACGGACACUGACGCUGAGACGCGAAAGCGUGGGUAGCAAACAGGAUUAGAUACCCUGUAGUCC